rnacentral:rRNA from 1 species
GACGAACGCUGGCGGCGUGCUUAACACAUGCAAGUCGAACGGAAAGGCCCUGCUUGCAGGGUACUCGAGUGGCGAACGGGUGAGUAACACGUGGGUGAUCUGCCCUGCACUUCGGGAUAAGCCUGGGAAACUGGGUCUAAUACCGGAUAGGAGCCAUUUUUAGUGUGAUGGUUGGAAAGUUUUUUCGGUGUAGGAUGAGCUCGCGGCCUAUCAGCUUGUUGGUGGGGUAAUGGCCUACCAAGGCGGCGACGGGUAGCCGGCCUGAGAGGGUGGACGGCCACAUUGGGACUGAGAUACGGCCCAGACUCCUGCGGGAGGCAGCAGUGGGGAAUAUUGCACAAUGGGCGCAAGCCUGAUGCAGCGACGCCGCGUGGGGGAUGACGGCCUUCGGGUUGUAAACUCCUUUCGCUAGGGACGAAGCAUUUUGUGACGGUACCUAGAUAAGAAGCACCGGCUAACUACGUG